rnacentral:lncRNA from 1 species
ACAUUUGCUGUGAGGGUUCUACAUUUCAACAGAAAUGCAACUGCACCAUAUUUUGAAUGAAUUUACAUUCCUAAUAUUCAAUUCAUAUUUAUGCAAUACAUACACAAGCAAUUGGACUCUUCUAUUCAUUCAACAUAUAUAGAAGAUUCACAAGUUUUCUUCACUCAAGUUAACUACAACCAUCAAGGAGAUACAUGUAUCAUCAUACAAGUCGUGGCCUAUUACAAAAUAUGAUGGCCAAUGUUUCUAAGAGGCAAGUGUUUGACCACUCGACCACUAUAUAAUAUUAUCAAAAAGACCAAAUCUUCAGUCACCAAGCCAGCACCAUGAGGACAUUAUUCGGUCAACCUGGGGACUUGCUACUGUCUAUUUCUUGUCACUGAAAAAAGAAGUGAUAUGUUUCAGCAAUCUUAGAAAUAGUAGAAUUUAUUCAAAAUUGUGAGUCGCCCUUGAGUCAAAAGAUCAAUGAAAGAAAUAGAAGAUACGCAACAGAUUGGCAGCAGUUCUAGAAAUAACAAACAAUCAUAUAUGCACUUGUAGGACAGACUGGGAUUAUGUUGCGGUUCAUGCAUGCCACAAAAAAUGUGUAGUAUACAAUAGGGGUUUGCAUAUAUUACAAUCUGCUAUGGUUAAAAAUCUGAACCUGAACGUAUGAUGCUACAUCACCUAUGUUUCUCUAAAAUAAAGAGCCAAGUGUAAUCCCAAUUUGUGGUACUGAAUAAAUAUGCUACCCUGAAAAAUAUUGGUCAAUUUUUAUUGUGGCUGAUCUCAAAUAGAUAGCAAGCUUCAGUAUAGCUAGUAGGAAAUGCAGACUUAUCAAGGUUUUCGAGACGAUGAGUCGUUCCCGGGUUGCGAGGUCGAGCAUGGCCGAUCGAUUAGUCUCGACUAGUUGAGGGGUUAGAGUCAAACCUGGCCGUGCGAUCGAUGACUAGUCGCGCGACUUAAAAACAGUGAAACUUAUGAUCAUUUGUAUUGCGGCUUAUUAAUUUGAACAAAAAUGCAUGAAAAACACUCGCAUAGAGAACAGCAGCACACAAGAUAUAAGCUAAGAAGCAUGCAUACGGGGAUGGAGACAUGGCGAUACACAUUAGGGGACAUGGGAUACAACAUUUUCCAAAACAGCAAUUAGGGGAUACGACAAGUAUAUAUAUAAUAAAAUAAAAAAUAUGCUAUGUAAUAUAGAAUUAAGACAAAAAAUGAGAAGAGAUAAUACAUCCCCAUUUGUCGUCUCCUUUUUCAUGUGCUUAACUGAUCCUCCAGACCCAAGCGAUUGAUCCUCCCAGAUGCUAUACUACCUAACAUCAAGCAACCAAGCAGCAAUCAUUCAUGUGUAGCAAGCAGCAGCAGCAAAAGCGUUCAAUAAAGCAAGCAGCCGAGCACAAGACUGGGUGUCAUUCUUGCUGGAAUAAUAUUCACAUGAAUGUGCUUGCAAACUAAACCAUACAUUUUCUGCUAGAUUCGAUGAUCAAGGCUCGAGACUUGAUACUAUCUGCAUGAUAAUCAGGUGCUGCUACACAUAAAAGCAUAGAAACCAAAUAUUCAAUGUUCUUCCAUAACCCAGAUUUAGUAUCACCAUAUUGUGCCCUUAAUUAUUUGAAGGAAAGUAGGUAUUGUGAUAAUCUGAUGCAUCCAAUGUUCAUAGUGACAUUACAAACUGUACAGUAUGUGUUAAGUUGUGAAGCAUCAAACCUGGCAAGAAAAUGGAAAGGAUACUUGAAAGAAAAACAAUAGUGUUUAGUUCAAACUUUAGACCCUUUUCCCCAUUCUAAUCAUAUUUCUUUCUGAACCAAGCAUGACACUAUUGUUCACAAAUAUAUAGCAGUGAAGCACACAAUGCCCUUUCUCCAAAUAUAAAAUAACAUUCAAUCUCUGAUAGCACACAUAGCAGUGAAGCUGUGAAGUAAACAAUUUGUUUUUACAUAAAACCACAUUAGAAGUGUCAUAUCACAGGAAAAGUUCACAAGCAUAAUACCUAAUAUCACAUACGAAAAGUCAUCUAAAUUAGAAGUUCCUCGUCGCCAUCUUUGUGCUACAAUCUCUGAGGGUGUUUCCACAUUUUCGCUUGCUUGAGGAAAUGCCAGUUGCUGCAUCAAGUUGUUUCUGCAAAAACAGAGCAAAUGAGGCACCCCAAGUUAUUUCUACAAUGAACUCAGUUCAACCUAUACUUGUCGUCAAUUGACAUUCAAUCACAUGCACAUCAUUACUUAAAAAAACAUGAUGCAUGGUACAUGUGACUUACAAUUAGGGCCUCUGCUUAGUGUGGGAGAAACUCCAGUUUUACAUGUAUGUUCUUUGACAAAUAUGUCUUCUCUCUGCGGGUCGUAGACAAGUUCCUCAACCUGCAGCAAAUUUAUUUAACAGUAAUUAAAAAUAAAGAAUUUCAAAAAGAAAGAAAAAACAUUGUCACUGAUGAGCUGACUAUUGAAAAUAAACUUGUUGUAGGCUUGUAGGACUUGCACCAGAACCACAGAACCACAAAAAGGCCAGCCGUGUUAAAAACAAACAAUUGGGUGUUGCAUACUUUUAUUCUAGAGAAUUCAGAUAAGCAAUUAUCAAGAAUAUAGCUGUCAUUAGCAGUGACCUAGUUUAGAUUGGGGUGUGUGUGGUGCGAUAGAGAGGGGUCAAUGGUAGAACUAAAUUCCUGCAAGGCCAUAUGUUUUAAUCAAACUUUAACAUUCAUACAGAAAACCAAGAAACUGUAUUUCAAUACAAAAACCAAAUGAACCUUUCCAAGUUGAAUAAUGAGCUGUACGAUGGGCACCAGAUUAUGACUAGCAAUGUUCAAGUUCUUCUUGGUGUGGGUGAAAUAUAUACUGGAUCUCCCCAGAGAAAUUAACUAAAUACUUAAUUUACUUCUAAUUAUAAAACGAGAAACGAAUUUGUUGACCCUCUGAAAUUCUCCAAACUCUAACGAAUCACCAGAUCUGUUUUAGUUCAUCAUCAUGGAACCAGCCGGAUCUCGAAGCGCUCACAUUCAUAGGGAAACAAGCAGUAACAUAAGAAAACAGAAGGAAAAACGGACGCUCAAUCUUACCUGUAAGCUGCAGCUGCUGGACUUAGAGGCGGGGCAAGACGGGGGUCGCCGGUGGUUGAGGUCGAUACCAUGGGCUGCUGGAUGUAAGUUACUGAAGAAAUGGCCGGAGCUGGGAGAGGCGGCGACGAGGGCGAACCAGCGGGCGCGACGCCCGCCAGGUGAGCAGAUAGCCCAGCGGCACCUCAAGCUGCGGAUGGUGGGGAGGCACAGCAGAUUUGACAGGAGCUUCUGAAUUCAACACCGGGGGUGGGAGGGGCAGCGGCGCGACCGUAUCGGCCGAGCGCACGGAGGUGGCGGUGGCGGUGGCUAGGUGGGGAUUUUAGUUAGGUAUGUGUGUGCGUGAGGUAGACGAUGUGUGUGCGUGAGGAAGGGGGGCUUGGAAAAUAUCUGGAUUUUGGGCCUCGGGAGCGCGAGGCUCUUGGCGCUUGUAUUUUGGGCUCUGGCGCGUGAAGGGAAG